rnacentral:misc_RNA from 1 species
UUAAGUUCAGCGGGUAUCCCUACCUGAUCCGAGGUCAACCUUAAGAAGUUGGGGUUCUGGUGUGCACCUAUAGGGCCCAAAAGCGAGAAGAAUUACUACGCUUAGAGCCUAACAGGCACCACCAUUGGUUUUAAGGGCCGCUAGAAGGCGAACCCCAAGACCACGCAAGAGCGUGAUGGGUUGUAAAUGACGCUCGGACA